CAGGACAUUGCUGUGUAUGUAACUGAAACUGUGGAUAAAGCUUGUGGCACUGAACCAUUUCAAAAGUGCAGUCCAUGUGAACCUGAAAUUGAUGUAGACUUUGCAGAGGAUGAUGUUGAAUUGGAGAGAUUUAUGAAGUUGCAAGCAAAAUUAGAGGAACGUAAACAGGUAUGAUAGAAACUUGUCGACUUGUUAGUCUCCAAGUUGUUGAAAACCAGUUUCUGGUACUAUAGCAUUGCACUUUUCCAUCUGUCCAUCAUUUUGUCUAAAAAACUAGAAAAUGAUGACUCCUGCAAAUUGGGAAUUUUAUGCAGUAUUUUCGGAAACCUCAAAAUUGGGAAAAUACAUAGAUUUUUGCAAUUAGGAUGGGGCCCAUAUUCGGCCCCGAAAUCAACGUAAAAAAAUCUCUGUAAUCCUAACUCAAAGGUCAAGGUCACUGUGAGAGGUCAUGGGUCAAAAACAUAUUUUCCUUUCUGGGCCAUAACUCUGUCAUCAAUUAGAUAAUUUUAAUAUAACUUGACACAAAAGUUCACAUAAUGAGAAAAUGUGUAAUGUGCCAUACUCACACCCCUAGUGCAUAGGUCAAGGUUACACCUUAAUGUCAAAAGUCAACAUUGAAUGUUUUGUUGUCUGUAAAACAUGUUUAUCUAAGCUAAUAUGUCAUAUUAGACCCUAUUAAAAAUUGUUGGUGUUUUUUCUUCAAAAUUGCUUCCAUAUAAUUUAAUGUUUACUUAAAUUUUUGUGCCCCCCCCCCCCCCCCCCCAUGAGUGGUGGGGGCAUAUAGAUUUGCUCUUGUCCAUCUGUCCGUCCAUCCGAAAAUGUUGUGUCGUGCCUACUCCAAAAGUAUUUGACCAAGAGUCACCAGA